GCGGGGGUCGCCGAGUAUGGUCAAAGGCGCAGAGCAUUGACGUGCGCGGUGGCUUCAGGAGCCUGUCUCGUAGGAGUUCGUGGGUUCAAAUCCCACCCCCCGCA
rnacentral:tRNA from 1 species